UCCAAGGUAUCUGUUCAGUAUACAGACUUGAGAGGCCCCCACAGUAUGCUGCAGUGCCGAGACACGAAAUAAGUUGGAAGUGGGGAAAGUGCUUCAAGUACUCUCUGCCCAUCUAGGGACAGGAAUCAACAUCUGGUAGUGCUCGGGGCUGCAGCUGGGUAUGACUGUGAAUACAUUGGGGACAGCACCACUAGAGGGAGGUGAUUCUCUUUCCUUCAGUAAGCAUGUUAAGUAAAACCCACUUAAAGCCAAAUCAACUGGCCGAGGUAUUUUCGCCACCAUUUGGCCAAGUACAAAAUAAAUCCAGAUGGACAUGUACACUUAACUUGUAUAUCUCCCUCCCAGUGUUUAUCCCAUUUACAAAUGUUGCUGUUCUUCAGUCGGCAAUAAGUCUCACACUUUUUUUUACGUCGGCGUUGGAUAUCAUCAUAAUAUUUUGGCCAUGCUUUUUGUAAUCAUAAUAGCUAAUUUACCCAAAGGAUAUAAUUUUAUCUUUAGCAAAACAAAAAACAGCUCCUCCAAUUACUACGUUAAUUACUUUGGAUUACAUCUGUUCAUUGCCUGUUUAUCUCCCUGUCUCUCAGGACCUCUGCACUAGUUGAAGAUGAUCAUUUUAGGAAGAUACCGAUAUGAAGGUCAUAUCCAAGGGGAUUUCAAUAUCAGCCAAUCUCUUUGUGUAUGCUUCCCAAUUAGUGUCUGGCAAAAGGCUCAUCGAUUCGAUUUGUUAUCUUGUGGGCCUUAACCUCGUAUACAACAUGUACAUGUAAUAAAAGCACACACCAAACAGACAAAGACAAAUUAACGACUCCAUCUUUUGUUUUUCUGACAACAAUGUAAUAUUUUCCUUGAAUAGGUAAUUGUGUGACUGUGUGUUUGAGUGUGUGUGUGUGUGUGUGUGUGUGUGUGUGUGUGUGUGUGUGUGUGUCUGUGUGUGUAAGAGACUUAGAGGCCAGAUUAAGAUGGAGACGGCUCUUUCGGCAGGAAACAAUGGACCAUUUCUGUAGUCAUAAUAAGCAUUAGGCCUCUGGUUGAAACAGCCGCACACGGCCCCUAGCCGGGAGAGACUUUUCCAGAAAUGAUGAACUCCACCACGCCAAACUUCACUUAUUAUUGCAAUUAGGGCUGCAACUAAAGAUUAUUUUCAUUGCUGAUUUAUGUAUAGAUAUAUUUUUUAUUCAACCAAUUUAUGAUAACUUGAAUGAUUAUUUAUGGAAUUAGCUCUGAGAUGAGAAACUCCACACCAACCUGCCUUCACUAAAGAUUGAAAUUUGGGUCUGCAACCAACAAUUGCUUUCAACCUAUGGAUUUGAAUAAACCAAUUGUUGUCUUGUCCAUAAAAUGCCGUAAUAAUGGCACCCACCAAUAAUAUAUAAAUAAAUAAAUAUAUGUAUUUAUUUAUUUAUUUAUUUAU
ensembl:lncRNA